rnacentral:rRNA from 1 species
GACGAACGCUGGCGGCGUGCCUAAUACAUGCAAGUUGAGCGAUGAAGAUUGGUGCUUGCACCAAUUUGAAGAGCAGCGAACGGGUGAGUAACGCGUGGGGAAUCUGCCUUUGAGCGGGGGACAACAUUUGGAAACGAAUGCUAAUACCGCAUAAUAACUUUAAACAUAAGUUUUAAGUUUGAAAGAUGCAAUUGCAUCACUCAAAGAUGAUCCCGCGUUGUAUUAGCUAGUUGGUGAGGUAAAGGCUCACCAAGGCGAUGAUACAUAGCCGACCUGAGAGGGUGAUCGGCCACAUUGGGACUGAGACACGGCCCAAACUCCUACGGGAGGCAGCAGUAGGGAAUCUUUGGCAAUGGACGAAAGUCUGACCGAGCAACGCCGCGUGAGUGAAGAAGGUUUUCGGAUCGUAAAACUCUGUUGGUAGAGAAGAACGUUGGUGAGAGUGGAAAGCUCAUCAAGUGACGGUAACUACCCAGAAAGGGACGGCUAACUACGUG